rnacentral:rRNA from 1 species
UACGUAGGUGACAAGCGUUAUCCGGAUUUACUGGGCGUAAAGGGCGUGUAGGCGGUCUUGCAAGUCAGAAGUGAAAUUCCUGAGCUCAACUCGGGCGCUGCUUCUGAAACUGCAGGACUUGAGUGCUGGAGGGGAUAGCGGAAUUCCUAGUGGAGCGGUAAAAUGCGCAGAUAUUAGGAAGAACACCGGUGGCGAAGGCGGCUAUCUGGACAGUAACUGACGCUGAGGCGCGAAAGCGUGGGGAGCAAACGGGAUUAGAUACCCUGGUAGUCCACGCCGUAAACGAUGAAUGCUAGGUGUAGGGGGUAUCGACUCCCUCUGUGCCGCAGUUAACACAAUAAGUAUUCCGCCUGGGGAGUACGGCCGCAAGGUUGAAACUCAAAUGAAUUGACGGGG